rnacentral:snRNA from 1 species
AUACUUGUCUCGGCCUUUGGGCUACGACCAAGUGCAGUCUCUGUUCUUAUCAGUUUAGUUUAUGAUACGAGGGUCAUCAAAACUUACGAUAUUGAUCUGAUUUAUCUCACGAGUGCAAGUCCAAAGGUGCAGCCUGCUGCGAUGGACUCGCACCAGUCGCCUGGGUAUUGCACUAAUUCUUCGGCGGCUCAAUCGUC